CAGAGCGAGGCAAAGACCGCGAGGCGGAGCGAAUCGCUAAAAGCCGUCCCAGUUCGGAUUGCAGGCUGCAACCCGCCUGCAUGAAGUUGGAAUCGCUAGUAAUCGCGGAUCAGCAUGCCGCGGUGAACACGUUCCCGGGCCUUGUACACACCGCCCGUCACACCAUGAGAGUCGGGAACACCCGAAGUCCGUAGCCUGACCGCAAGGGGGGCGCGGCCGAAGGUGGGUUCGAUAAUUGGGGUGAAGUCGUAACAAGGUAUC
rnacentral:rRNA from 1 species